AUUGAACGCUGGCGGCAUGCCUUACACAUGCAAGUCGAACGGCAGCACGGACUUCGGUCUGGUGGCGAGUGGCGAACGGGUGAGUAAUGUAUCGGAACGUGCCUAGUAGCGGGGGAUAACUAGGCGAAAGAUAGCUAAGACCGCCUACGACCUACGGGUGAAAGUGGGGGAUGUCAAGACCCCUCGCUAUUAUACCUCCCCAAAUCAGAUUAGCUAGUUGGUGGGGUAAAGGCCCACCAAGGCAACGAUCUGUAGCUGGUCUGAGAGGACGACCAGCCACACUGGGACUGAGACACGGCCCAGACUCCUACGGGAGGCAGCAGUGGGGAAUUUUGGACAAUGGGGGCAACCCUGAUCCAGCAAUGCCGCGUGUGUGAAGAAGGCCUUCGGGUUGUAAAGCACUUUUGUCAGAGAAGAAAACUGUUGCGCUAAUAUCGCGACGGGAUGACGGUAUCUGAAGAAUAAGGACCGGCUAACUACGUGCCAGCCGCCGCUGUAA
rnacentral:rRNA from 1 species